GCUUUUAUCAUACACUUAUGCGGAGCUACAUCGCUUUGCUCGCGCAGACAUAGUAUAUCAUACAGAGGUUCCACUAAGCACUCUUUUUCAGAAGCUUGCAUUUGCAAAUCCUACAUCUUGGUCCCCAAAAGCAUAAGUGAAACUAGCAGCUGAUGCUAGUAACUGUUCGUUACUAGCUACUUUGCUAGUAACGAUCUUGCACUUUUUUUUCAGCCGCUAGGAUACCUGCUUCACUUUCAGCUGCAUCCCUGCGCAUGUCAUUUGAAUGAGAACCCUUUAAAGUGCCCAUACUCUUCACUAAGUCCAUACGGUCUCGGGCGUUGCAUCGUAGACACCAAAGCACCCAGCUCAUCGCAG
rnacentral:lncRNA from 1 species